GUUGAACGCUGGCGGCAUGCCUUACACAUGCAAGUCGAACGGCAGCAUGGAGAGCUUGCUCUCUGAUGGCGAGUGGCGAACGGGUGAGUAAAGCAUCGGAACGUACCGUGUAGUGGGGGAUAACGUAGCGAAAGUUACGCUAAUACCCCAUACGCACUGAGGUGGAAAGCAGGGGAUCGUAAGACCGUGCGCUAUAGGAGCGGCCGAUGUCCGUUUAGGUAGUUGGUAGGGUAAAGGCCUACCAAAGCGACGAUCUGUAGCGGUUCGGCGAGGAUGAUCCGCAACACUGGGACUGAGACACGGCCCAGACUCCUACGGGAGGCAGCAGUGGGGAAUUUUGGACAAUGGGGUCAAGCCUGAUCCAGCCAUGCCGCGUGAGUGAAUAAGGCCUUCGGGUUGUAAAGCUCUUUCGGCCGGGAAGAAAUCGCACAGGCUAAUACCCUGUGUGGAUGACGGUACCGGCAUAAGAAGCACCGGCUAACUACGUGCCAGCAGCCGCCGUAA
rnacentral:rRNA from 1 species